rnacentral:rRNA from 1 species
UACGAAGGGUGCAAGCGUUACUCGGAAUUACUGGGCGUAAAGCGUGCGUAGGCGGUUUGUUAAGUCUGUCGUGAAAGCCCCGGGCUCAACCUGGGAAUGGCGAUGGAUACUGGCGAGCUAGAGUACGGUAGAGGAGAGUGGAAUUCCCGGUGUAGCAGUGAAAUGCGUAGAGAUCGGGAGGAACAUCAGUUGCGAAGGCGGCUCUCUGGACCAGUACUGACGCUCAUGCACGAAAGCGUGGGGAGCAAACAGG